rnacentral:rRNA from 1 species
AACGAACGCUGGCGGCAUGCCUAACACAUGCAAGUCGAACGAGACCUUCGGGUCUAGUGGCGCACGGGUGCGUAACGCGUGGGAACCUGCCCUUAGGUUCGGAAUAACUCCCCGAAAGGGGUGCUAAUACCGGAUAAUGUCUUCGGACCAAAGAUUUAUCGCCUUUGGAUGGGCCCGCGUUGGAUUAGCUAGUUGGUAGGGUAAAAGCCUACCAAGGCGACGAUCCAUAGCUGGUCUGAGAGGAUGAUCAGCCACACUGGGACUGAGACACGGCCCAGACUCCUAGGGGGGGCAGCAGUGGGGAAUAUUGGACAAGGGGCGAAAGCCUGACCCAGAAAUGCCGGGUGAGUGAUGAAGGCCUUAGGGUUGUAAAGCUUUUUUACCCGGGAUGAUAAUGACAGGACCGGGAGAAUAAGCCCCGGCUAACCCCGU